ACGGAAGGCAGCAGUGGGGAAUAUUGCACAAUGGGGGAAACCCUGAUGCAGCAACGCCGCGUGAGUGAAGAAGUAUUUCGGUAUGUAAAGCUCUAUCAGCAGGGAAGAUAAUGACGGUACCUGACUAAGAAGCUCCGGCUAAAUACGUGCCAGCAGCCGCGGUAGUACGUAUGGAGCAAGCGUUAUCCGGAUUUACUGGGUGUAAAGGGUGCGUAGGUGGCAGGGCAAGUCAGAUGUGAAAGACCGGGGCUCAACUCCGGGGCUGCAUUUGAAACUGUCUUGCUGGAGUGCAGGAGAGGUAAGCGGAAUUCCUAGUGUAGCGGUGAAAUGCGUAGAUAUUAGGAGGAACACCGGUGGCGAAGGCGGCUUACUGGACUGAAACUGACACUGAGGCACGAAAGCGUGGGGAGCAAACAGGAUUAGAUACCCUGGUA
rnacentral:rRNA from 1 species